UUCGUUCUGGCUCAGAUUGAACGCUGGCGGGAUGCUACACAUGCAAGUCGAACGGCAGCACGGACUUCGGUCUGGUGGCGAGUGGCGAACGGGUGAGUAAUGUAUCGGGGCGACGCCUGGUAGCGAGGAUAACUACGCGAAAGCGUAGCUAAUACCGCAUACGCCCUUCGGGGAAAGCGGGGACCUUCGGGCCUCACUGGCCAAAACGACCGAUAUCGGAUUAGCUAGUUGGUGGGGUAACGGCUCGCAAGGCGACGAUCCGUAGCUGGUUUGAAGGACGACCAGCCACACUGGGACUGAGACACGGCCCAGACUCCUGCGGGGCGGCAGUGGGGAAUUUUGGACAAUGGAAACCUGAUCCGUACAAACCCGCGUGUUGAUGAAGGCCUUCGGGUUGUAAAGCACUUUUGGCAGAAAGAAACGGCACGGGAUAAUACCCCGUGCAACUGACGGUACCUGCAGAAUAAGCACCGGCUAACUACGUGCCAGCAGCCGCGGUAAUACGUAGGGUGCAAGCGUUAAUCGGAAUUACUGGGCGUAAAGCGUGCGCAGGCGGUUCGGAAAAGAAAGAUCUUAGAAAUCCCAGAGCUUAACUUUGGAACUGCAUUUUUUUAACUACCGAGCUAGAGUGUGUCGGGGAAGUUGAUUCGCAUUGUAGCAGUGAAAUGCGUAGAUAUGCGGAGGAACACCGAUAGCGAAGGCAACUCUGGGACUCACUGACGCUCGUGCAAAAAGCGUGGGGAGCAAACAAGGAUUAGAUACCCUGGUAGUCCCGCCCUAAACGAUGUCAACUAGCUGUUGGGGCCUUCAGGCACUUGGUAGCGCAACUAACGCGUGAAGUUGACCGCCUGGGGAGUACGGUCGCAAGAUUAAAACUCAAAGGAAUUGACUGGGGACCCGCACAAGCGGUGGAUGAUGUGGUUAAUUCGAUGCAACGCGAAAACCUUACCUACCCUUGACAUGUCUGGAAUCGAAGAGAUUUGGGAGUGCUCGCAAGAGAACCGGAACACAGGUGCUGCAUGGCUGUCGUCAGCUCGUGUCGUGAGAUGUUAGGUUAAGUCCCGCAACGAGCGCAACCCUUGUCAUUAGUUGCUACGAAAGGGCACAAACUCUAGGAACUGCCGGCAGCUCAAAUGGAAGAUGGAUGACGUAGUCUCAACACAGCCCUUAUGGGUAGGGCUUCAUUUGUCAACGCAAUGGCGGAGAUGAGCGCCAACCCGCGAGGAGCCAAUCCAGAAACCGAUCGUAGUCCGGAUCACAGUCUGCAACUCGACCGCGUGGUCAAUCUUUGGUGAUCCAGCAGAUCAGCGUAAUCGCGAAGAAUACCGUUCAGGUCUUAUACCUCCUCCAGUCUUUUCUGUAGUCAGGUUUCUCAGAAGUAGUUAACCUAACAUAGGGAAAUUAUACGUAAGGAUCCAUACAAUAGUUGAUGUAAUAGUGCUCAUUUUCUUUGAAGUGUCUCUUCAGAUAAUCUUUAUGUUUUUG
rnacentral:rRNA from 1 species